rnacentral:rRNA from 1 species
AACGAACGCUGGCGGCAUGCCUAACACAUGCAAGUCGAACGGGAUCCUAGCUUGCUAGGUGAGAGUGGCGGACGGGUGAGUAACACGUGGGAAUCUCGCCUUUUGGUUCGGGAUAACCGCGGGAAACUGCGGCUAAUACCGAAUGCCCUCGAGAGAGGAAAGAUUUAUCGCCAGAAGAGGAGCCCGCGUCCGAUUAGGUAGUUGGUGGGGUAAAGCCUACCAAGCCGACGAUCGGUAGCUGGUCUGAGAGGAUGAUCAGCCACACUGGGACUGAGAUACGGCCCAGACUCCUACGGGAGGCAGCAGUGGGGAAUAUUGGACAAUGGGGGCAACCCUGAUCCAGCAAUGCCGCGUGAGUGAU